GCACACAGUGGCUUAGUGGUUAGCACGUUCCUCAUGUACUUCACACCUCCAGGGUCGGGGGUUCGAUUCCCACCGUGUGUG